GAUUGUGAGGAAAACAGAUGAACAGAGACAGAGAGACAGAAAGAGUAGAAGACAUGAACAGAGAGACAGAAAGAGAAGAAGACAGAUGAACAGAGAGACAGAAAGAGAAGAAGACAGUGAACAGGGAAACAGAAAGAGAAGAAGACAUGAACAGAGAGACAGAAAGAGAAGAAGACAUGAACAGAGAGACAGAAAGAGAAGAAGACAGAUGAACAGAGAGACAGAAAGAGAAGAAGACAGAUGAACAGAGAGACAGAAAGAGAAGAAGACAGAUGAACAGAGAGGGGGCGUUAGCGAUGGGUGGAAACUCAGGAUACAAGACAACGAGGGCUCUGAGCCAGCCAAUGUCAACCUGUAUAAGUCUGGAACAGUAUUGCUACAGGGCAACCCCAAACAGUUUCAGCUGGAUGUUCACCUAAUCAAAGAAUUAGCCCAGCAGGAGAAGCUAUCUCUUGAGAAAGAUACCCCCCACCCCGAGCGUGUCAGACCAGACCUCUUCAUUAUAUAACCCCACAGACGAGCAACCCCAAGCGGAAAGUCAACCUCCCAGCACAGAGCACUACUUCCUCAUUGAUAUGAAGGAUACAUUUACCCAGCUGGAGGUAAGGCAGGUGGAGCUGGAACAGCAGGUGAUUACACUCCAGUCAGCACAAACAAUCCUCCAGCUCAACAGCACCCCAGACCCAGAGAGCUGGAGGUAGAGAGAGACAUAUCACCCCAGACCCAGAGAGCUGGAGGUAGAGAGAGACAUAUCACCCCAGACCCAGAGAGCUGGAGGUAGAGAGAGACAUAUCACCCCAGACCCAGAGAGCUGGAGGUAGAGAGACAUAUCACCCCAGACCCGGAGAGC
rnacentral:lncRNA from 1 species